rnacentral:lncRNA from 1 species
GGAUGGUUCACUAUUUGAGAUAUUCCAUUAGAAUAUAAUAGGAUUAUGGUCAUUUAUUCUCCUUUUUAUUUUGCAUUUUUUGCAAAUACUUUUUUUUUGCAUUUUUUUGCAAAUAUUAUUAAUUUUUUCUUAGUACAUUACUUAGCAAAAAUAAGGGUUUGCUCGUAGUUCCUAGAAUUUCUUUCUUCUUUCAACUGCUAUAGUUUCUGACUUGUAUCUACUAAGAUAUGAUAUGUUUGCUAUUGUUGAAACUUUGCAGUUAGGAAGUUGUAUCAGAGGUUAAGUGUUGAUAACCUUUAUAGAUCAUGCCCUUUCCUCUUGUAGUUUCUGAUUUAUUAGUGGUAGGUUGUGAUUAAUGUUAUGCUAUUAAUCACAGGCACAGUGGCUUCGCAUUCAUUUAUUUCUUAGUCAUUUUAGCGUUAUGUAUAAAACACCAUUUAUUGUGUUGUACUCCAUGUUAUUUAGGGGCGCCUUUUUGUGUUCAUUGAAGGUAUUAACCAACCAAUAAGGCUCGACUACAUUUUAAGAUAGUUAUAACAAUGUUUUUCUGAAUUUCAAAGCAAAAUUGUGUUAUGACGAUAGAUUUCGAUAUCAAAAGCAUCAAAACAAUCAAUUUAGCCGGAAAAUGAGUUUUAGACUUUGGACAAUCAAUACACGAGUCAAACAUGCAUAAUUUGACGCUGCUUAAGAUAGCCUGCGUAGCACAAUUACAGAAAUGGCUCAAUAUUUUCAGUACUCAUGCUAUUUACUAUAUAAAAAUGGAGUUUAUACUCAUUACCAAUGCUUCCAUUAUUUGGAAGCUAACCAACUGCACUAGAAGGAGGGCAGCGAUAUUCUGGACACUGUGCUUAUGACCCGACGCGUCAACAAU